rnacentral:rRNA from 1 species
UCAGGUAGGAUUACCCGCUGAACUUAAGCAUAUCAAUAAGCGGAGGAAAAGAAACUAACAAGGAUUCCCCUAGUAACUCGAGUGAAGCGGGAAAAGCUCAAAUUUAAAAUCUGGCGGUCUUCGGCCGUCCGAGUUGUAGUCUGGAGAAGUGCUUUCCGCGCUGGACCGUGUACAAGUCUCUUGGAACAGAGCGUCAUAGAGGGUGAGAAUCCCGUUCUUUGACACGGACUACCAGUGCUUUGUGAUGCGCUCUCAAAGAGUCGAGUUGUUUGGGAAUGCAGCUCAAACACAUGGAGAUGAGUAAAUGACGCAUUC